GCCACUUACUAAUGUAGCUGUCCUCUUCAUACAGACACAUUUAAAUAUAUUUUUCUGAUCGUAUUCACUUAUCCUAUGCCCUACUUUAUAUCAGUAUGCAACUAAUUACUUAGCAUCUGGUUUAAAGUUACCUACAAUGACAUACCUGGCUAAACUAAAGAUAGAAAAUGUAGGGGAAUUUAAAAAACAAAAUGUCUCGAUACAAAUGGGGCUUUCGUGUUUAGUUGUAAGACAAUGUGGUAGGUUGUACACAUUGUUAGAAUAAAACAGAAUGUAGGACCAAUUAUUUACUUCAAGUUUAUAAUACGAACGAAAAAUUCAGACCUGGAAUUUUCAAAGAUUGUUGUGAAUUUUAGUGUACAUAUAUUACUAGUCAUAAUGAGCCAUAUGAAAUUUAUAGAGAUUUUUUUCUGUAUUGUCUGUUUAAAUACCUGCGUUUGAUAAGGUCAUGAUGAGGUGUGACAUCUGAUGGGAUAAAUAACUAUAAAACUAAAAGAAGAGAGAUAUCUGUACCAGAACUUACGACAAUACACCGUCUACCUGGAUCGUACCAUAAAGUAGGCCCAUCUAUUUCGAUGCAGAUCAACAUAGGUGUUUCCAACCGACGCUAAUAGUCCUAUCUUUGGAUCUUAACUUUUGACUAGCAUAGUGUUACGUACUGGACAAGGGAGCAAAUCUAAUAACAAGAGUGACAACUCUGCUCAAUUUAACAAACGAACACUUCAAUUUUAUUAUCUCUACUAACCAGAACAGCGAGUGAUACGGUGAUAUUGCUAUACAAUGAACAAAGUCACGAAACUGCUCUUCUUGGACUUUAAAACAUUAGUAAAGACAAUUCAGUAGCUAAAAUAGAGACCACAUUUUUGAAACUAAACAGUACCCUGGUAAUAGUAUGUUCUGUUUGCAUUCUCAGAGCAGUGUCAUAUGAAAGAGAAAGCUCUCACAAUAGUUACUUCAUGUUCCUGGUCUAUUCUGGGCGCGUCCUGGACAGAAUGUAAAACACAGCAACUAUUUAGCCAAUAUUUAUAGUUCAUGAAUCAUUCGUCAUGUUGGAACUGG
rnacentral:sRNA from 1 species